rnacentral:sRNA from 1 species
GUCGCUGUAAAUCCAGCGAUCGGGUUUGGUAGCCCGACGAUCUCCACGGCGUGCAAGCGCUCCAUCCGUCUCGAUAGGCGCUUUUUUU